rnacentral:rRNA from 1 species
AUUGAACGCUGGCGGCAGGCUUAACACAUGCAAGUCGGGCGGGGUGAUGGUGCUUGCACUAUCACUUAGCGGCGGACGGGUGAGUCAUGCUUAGGAAUCUGCCUAUUAGUGGGGGACAACAUCUCGAAAGGGAUGCUAAUACCGCAUACGUCCUACGGGAGAAAGCAGGGGAUCACUUGUGACCUUGCGCUAAUAGAUGAGCCUAAGUCGGAUUAGCUAGUUGGGGGGGUAAAGGCCUAGCAAGGGGACGAUCUGUAGCGGGUCUGAGAGGAUGAGCCGCCACACUGGGACUGAGACACGGACCAGACUCCUACGGGAGGCAGCAGUGGGGAAUAUUGGACAAUGGGGGGAACCCUGAUCCAGCCAUGCCGCGUGUGUGAAGAAGGCCUUAUGGUUGUAAAGCACUUUAAGCGAGGAGGAGGCUCUUUUGGUUAAUACCCAAGAUGAGUGGACGUUACUCGCAGAAUAAGCACCGGCUAACUCUGUGCCAGCCGCCGCCGUAA